rnacentral:rRNA from 1 species
GAUGAACGCUGGCGGCGUGCCUAAUACAUGCCAGUCGAGCGAACAGACGAGGAGCUUGCUCCUCUGACGUUAGCGGCGGACGGGUGAGUAACACGUGGAUAACCUACCUAUAAGACUGGGAUAACUUCGGGAAACCGGAGCUAAUACCGGAUAAUAUAUCGAACCGCAUGGUUCAAUAGUGAAAGACGGUUUUGCUGUCACUUAUAGAUGGAUCCGCGCCGCAUUAGCUAGUUGGUAAGGUAACGGCUUACCAAGGCGACGAUGCGUAGCCGACCUGAGAGGGUGAUCGGCCACACUGGAACUGAGACACGGUCCAGACUCCUACGGGAGGCAGCAGUAGGGAAUCUUCCGCAAUGGGCGAAAGCCUGACGGAGCAACGCCGCGUGAGUGAUGAAGGUCUUCGGAUCGUAAAACUCUGUUAUUAGGGAAGAACAAAUGUGUAAGUAACUAUGCACGUCUUGACGGUACCUAAUCAGAAAGCCACGGCUAACUACGUG